UCUGGGAGCUUGGAGGCGAUCUUAUCAUCCUUGAUGGUGUUACGCAUGUUGUAAGCGUAGUUCUCCAGGGCGUUCUUGGAGUCCACCUUCUUCUUGUGCUCCUCGUCCUCAGCCUUGUACUUCUCGGCCUCCUGCACCAUCUUCUCGAUGUCCUCCUUGCUCAGCCGCCCCUUGUCGUUGGUAAUUGUGAUCUUGUUCUUCUGCCCGGUGGUCUUGUCCUCCGCAGAGACGUUCAGGAUACCAUUGGCAUCAAUGUCAAAGCACACGGUGAUCUGGGGGACACCCCUGGGCGCCGGUGGGAUCCCGGAGAGCUCGAACUUGCCGAGCAGGUUGUUGUCCUUGGUCCUCGCCCUCUCGCCCUCAUAUACCUGGAUGAGCACGCCGGGCUGGUUGUCAGAGUAGGUGGAGAAGACCUGCUCCUUCUUGGUGGGGAUUGUCGUGUUCCUUGGGAUCAGCACGGUCAUGACACCUCCGGCCGUCUCCAGGCCCUGCGAGAGCGGUGUGAC
rnacentral:lncRNA from 1 species